rnacentral:misc_RNA from 1 species
UCUCCGUUGGUGAACCAGCGGAGGGAUCAUUACCGAGUUUUUCUACUCCCAAACCCCUGUGAACUUAUACCUUUACUGUUGCUUCGGCGGGUUAACGCCCCGGAAGGCCCGCGAGGGCCGCCGGAACCAGGCGCCCGCCGGGGGACCCAAACUCUUGUGUCUUUUUUAUAGCAUGUCUGAGUGGAAUCAUAAACAAAUGAAUCAAAACUUUCAACAACGGAUCUCUUGGUUCUG